AUGAAGAGGCUUCACUCUACUCUGGGCACUUGGCUCUUCACACUCCUAGUGAUGCUAGUCUACUGCCAGAGUGGUGAUGAUGGAGAGUGGGGAUCAAGUGACGUCUCUGGGACUGCGGUCACUGGCAAUUCCUCCACUUCAGUCGUCCAUGCAGUCGGGGAUGAGCCAGACAGGACCAGGCCAGUUUUUCAGACCCUGCCAGAGACAGAAGGCGGUGACUGUUAUGUUCACUUUCACACCAGCCAAGUCAUGUCAAGGCGGUUACGAGCUUUCAGAGAGGAAGUUGCUUAUCUGAAGGCCCUUCAACAUGGGAACCAGGCAGUGAUGGAGAACCUGGUCCAGUUUGUAGGAGCAGAAAUGGGAGAUCAACACUACGAGGAGGUGAUCCAAGAGAACGUUGCUGGAAUCAGGGAGGAUCAUGUGAGCUGUGAGAGUGUGGUCACUAAAGCAGCAGAGGAGUUGGAGAGUCAACUGGAAGGAGAUGCUCAAGCCACUUUGGCUGGAAUUCAGAAAAUAAAAGAGGAGUCCCUUGCCUUUGAAGAAAUGCUGCGUACCACGACAGACAUCGCCUCUCGACUGGAGAGCUCCUCACGAGCCCUGCAUGUGGAGAUGACUGAACAGCUGAGGAAGAACAUGAGACAGCUGCGCGAAACUAAAUGACUCGGUGGGAAGCCAUCCAACCUGGAACAACAGAUAAAAGUAUUAUAUGGCAUGUCACAUCUAUAUUAAUCCACAAUGUUUUAAUGACAGUAAAAACAAUGUUGUCACCUUAAACAGUCCAUAUGUGGACCAUUUGACUUGAAUUAAUUGCAUUUUUUAAUAUUUUAUCUCCCUUACUAUGUUUUUGGGAAAGGGCACUGUUGUCAGAGAAUAGACUAAAACUCCAACUAUAUUUUUCUCUCUUGUCUGAUGUUCAUUUGUGAGCCAUAUUGAAAAUAUAAUGGCUAUGUGUACAAGGAAACAUGAUUAUGAUGAAACAUGAUGAAAAAAAAAAAUUUUUCUGGCUGUGAGGUGAUAUCUUAAAAGAAUAUUCUCUUUCCAAGUUCAGACAACCCCACAGCUAUGGUCUGGCUGUCUGGGCGCUAGGGAGCAGAUGGUGAAAAGACUGUAUGAGGCUCUGGAAAUCAGCAAGCAUGAACUCGCAUACAUUGGAGAGAGAGAGAGAGCAAGAUGGAAAAAUAAAAAAUAAAUGAAAAAAAAAAGACAUGGCAGUGAUGUCCCUGAGGAAUAAAUAAAAACAUGCCUUGCAGCUUGGAGCCAGAAUCUAAAGAAUCAGGACAAGAAAGUAGAAAUAUUGUGACUUAAUAUUAAUAUUUUAAAAUAUUUUGUGAUUACUAUAGUCAAUGAUUGAAAAAUACUGUAAGUAUAGGCUCUACUAAUAAAAUAUAAGUGUAUUACUCUAGUCAGUUGUGGUCACUUUUGCUGGAUGUGUAUUUUUUAAUGCAGUUCUGUGUGUAUGCUGCUAGCUAUUAUGAUCACAGAUACAGCUUGUGUGAAAGAAUGACUUUCAGUGACAUGAACUAAAGACUGUAUUGAGGGUUGUAUAUUUAUAAACUGCUGAUGGUGGGUUAUAGUCAUUCUUGAUGUGGCAUUGUUGAAUAUGAUAUUCAUAUUUGUGUAAGAUUAUCAGGAUAUCAAAAGUGUGGAAACACUGAAAUGCAACUUACAGUACAGAAUUGUUGAGGCUGCUUUUAUUAGAAAGAUUUAUGUGAAAUAGCAAUGAAAUAUAAUUACUGCCUAGGCCUGCUUUUACUUUCAGGAUUCCGAUCCUGUGUGUUUAAUUAGCAUAAUUGUUAUUAAUAAUAUAUGUUUCUGUCUCGAAAGUCAUCUACAGUAAAACUGCGUUUCAGUUUCACCUUCUGAGUGAGUUCUUGCUUCCCGUCAGCAUUUAUUCAGCUAUCCUGACCUCUAGCGACGAUUACUGCAAUAACAAUUCAAUCAGGUCUGGCACUUUAUUUUACAAGGUUUGUCUCCGUACGAGUUUGCGAACGUAUCCAUUAAACGUGAGGCUUUAUUUAUUA
ensembl:lncRNA